GAGUUUGAUCGUGGCUCAGAGUGAACGCUGGCGGUAGGCCUAACACAUGCAAGUCGAACGGCAGCACAGAGGAGCUCGCUCCUUGGGUGGCGAGUGGCGGACGGGUGAGGAAUACAUCGGAAUCUACUCUGUCGUGGGGGAUAACGUAGGGAAACUUACGCUAAUACCGCAUACGACCUACGGGUGAAAGCAGGGGAUCUUCGGACCUUGCGCGAUUGAAUGAGCCGAUGUCGGAUUAGCUAGUUGGCGGGUAAAGGCCCACCAAGGCGACGAUCCGUAGCUGGUCUGAGAGGAUGAUCAGCCACACUGGAACUGAGACACGGUCCAGACUCCUACGGGAGGCAGCAGUGGGGAAUAUUGGACAAUGGGCGCAAGCCUGAUCCAGCCAUACCGCGUGGGUGAAGAAGGCCUCGGUUGUAAG
rnacentral:rRNA from 1 species